AUCCCGGUAGCGACUGCCCCGACGACGCCAUGGCAGACAGGCUCGCGUCCGAGUCGCCGCAGUGCCUCAGGUAGGACUGCCGGAAGGACUGGGCCAGGUUCAGGCUCGCGUCCGACUCGCCGCCGUGCCGCAGCAGCUGGGACUGCCGCUGCUGUGGUGACUGAGGAGCCAUGGUGGACAGGCUCGGCCCCGACUCCCCGCAGCGUCUCAGGUACGCCGAAGACCGAUGCUGGCUGGACGAGCCCAGGUAGUAGCCCGACGACGAUCCGUACCCAGAGUUGGAGAUGUAUGAAGGACCGGCAUGCGGGCUGGGCGACCCAUAGCCGGAAUUGUACAUCUGUGGUGGGGCAUAAGCAUAACUUAUGUUGACUGGUGGAGACAGGUGGUUACCGACCAGGGAGUGUGUGAGGCAGAUGGGGAUUGGGAGCUCGGUACGGCGGCCGGGAACGAGCAGGAGGAUUAGGAGCCGUGGAGGGGCGCUGCGGCCGGCGACGGCGAGCCAAGAGGAAGGCGCCGGCAUUCCUCAGCCAUUCGCGCCGUCUGCUCACCCUACUCAUCAUGCAUCUCUCUAGUCUACAAUUUCAACCUAUUGUACUUAUCGAUUUUUGAGUUUAUCCUUCUAUUUUUGUUCAAGAUUUCGACAUUUUUUCAUUGAUUUCUCUAUUUUUCAUGUGGUGAUAUACACUAGUAGUAUCCGAGUAUGAUUUAAGGACCAUCUUCAAUCAGCUAGAAAAAAAUUCCAACCCAGUCAUUUCACUCUACACCGUUAGAUCGGAAUCCAACGGUUCACCCUUUUUCUUUAACCUCCAGCGGUUCUUCUCCCACACAACCCUGUACCACCCGGCUGCGCACGCAUCCCCCAUCCUGCCCUGCCCUGCCCUACCCUCAUUGUGUUGUCGUCGCCCUUGGCCAUCGCCAUGAUUUCGUCGCCAUCAACCAUCACACACUCGAACCCAUCGAAGCACCGACUCGACACGUUGUUCAUGCCAUGGCCGGCUGUGGCGUCCCAUCUCCUCCUCGUGCGCGCCAAAAACUGUUUUCAGUUGACUGACAAAUUUGAUGGUUGACAAUUAACCAUUUGGUGAUGAAACCUUCAACCAUGACUGCUCUCUCGUUAUCAGUCACAUAACCCAAAAAUCUGAUAUUUUCCGUAAACAGCAUUAAGCUUACUCGUCUACUUAAAAACGAAGGCAAAAUGGGCCAAGAGGAAUUUGCUCUGUAUGUAGGAGUACAAACAUAAGAUGAGCGCUCAUCAUCCAAUUUUUACUAUUCCUUUCAAGUUGCGACCAUUUGAUGAUUUGAAUUUAUAAAGGUUGUGUUGGUAGACUGAAUCCACUUAAAACUAUAGCCCCAAAUUCAACACUAAACAUUGUGUGAUUGCGAGAUUACACAUGUUUUGGUGGUUCCUUAUUCCGAGACUGUCACCCAAACUUGCUUGUCAGAUACUCCCUUUGUCCCAUAAUAUAAGAGCAUUUUCACCGAAUAUCCAAUUCCGAGCCCAGGCUCAUCUUCACCCGGUCAAGAAAUAAUUGAUAAAAAAAAUCAGAAAAAUCCAAUUUUUUGUGCAUGGUAGAUAAUUUGGUGUGUGAGAUGCGCUCCAAAUUUCAGAGCAUUUGGACAUUUGAGUAGCUCUCAGCAAAAAUGACAAAUUGGGUCAGGACAGUAUACAAAUAGUACACUAUUCAAGAGACCCCAAAUUUGUCUUUUUUGCCGAGAGCUACUUAGAUGUCCAAAUGAUUUGAAAUUUGGACCAGACAUCACGCACCCAAUUAUCUACCAUGCCAAAAAAAUUGGAAUUUUUUGAAUUUUUCUACUAUUUGUUUUGAUUUUUUUAUUCAGCGCAGGUGCAGAUGCUCCUGGGAGCCAAAACGCCUCAUUCCAUUUUCACACUACACUGAUGUCAAAAACUUAUAUUAUGGGACGCAGGAGUACAUGAUACAACAGUUGUUGCCAAGAAAACUGACACAAUCCCUAACAAAACAAUACAACAGAGGAGUUUUUUUUCUUCACUUUGCACACAUUCGACGAUAAACUCGGCCAAAAUUGAUUAAGUUUACACAUGUUUCUCAAUAAAUUUGAUCAAACUUAAAUAAGUUUGAUUUAAUGCGGAAUAAAUGAGCCCCAUGAACCUGGACGAAGAGUAGUGAUCAAACCGAAUCAUAUAUGCCUACUCUCUGUCUGUCCGCGAAUAAGUGUACAUUUGGCUUUAAAAUUUAUCCAUAAAAAAGUGUACUUCAAUCUUUUUAAUGCACUUUAAAUUGGAAAAAAAGUUUAUGUCCCAUCAUACGGUAAUCGAGACCAAUAACAUUCAACACCUCAUCUCCUUAAUUUCUACAUGCUCAUUAGGGGUUGGAUAACUAAAGAGGAAAGAGAUAGUGGUUUGCAUCUUCCCAAUGCAUUUUUUAUUCCACUUCAUAAUAUGUUUCUUAAGAUUUCUAUAUGUACACUUAUUCGUGGACGGGGAGAGUAUACGCCAGGCCUGAUGCAUCUAAAACCAACUUUACCAUGACUUUCCACUUCCAUAAUCACCAAGGCAAAGCUCAAAAACAUCAUCCCUACGCUGUCUUAUAUACCUGUAAUGUACAUCCAUAAGCACGGAAAAUAAACACAAGCAAUCACUAGAAGCACACACCAAAAAAAAAUCCACAACAAAAUCUAUGCAAUUCUCUCUCUCUCUCACUGACUCACUCUUCAGGCAACCAAUUGCCUAUGUUACAGUUACACGCCGCCCUCGAUAUAUUCACAAGCCAUGCCGUCUCUUUCGCGCGCAACGAAGAAGAGUUCAGGGCGAGCUUCUGACUCGCCAUAAUCAACAUCCCGGUAGCGACUGCCCCGAAGAAGCCAUGGCGGACAGGCUCGCGUCCGAGUCGCCGCAGUGCCGCAGGUAGGACUGCCGGAAGGACUGGGCCGACGACGCGCCCGCCAGGUUCAGGCUCGCGUCUGAGUCGCCGCCAUGGCGCAGCCGCUGUGAGUGGGACUGCUGCUGCUGUGGCGACUGAGGGGCCAUGGUAGACAGGCUCGGCCCGGACUCCCCGCAGCGUCUCAGGUACGCCGAAGACCGAUGCUGGCUGGAUGAGCCCAGGUAGUAGCCCGACGACGAUCCAUAUCCCGAAUUGGAGAUGUAUGAAGAACCGGCAUGCGCGCUGGGCGACCCAUAGCCGGAAUUGUACAUCUGCGGUGGGGCAUAAGCAUAACUUAUGUUGACUGGUGGAGACAGGUGGUUACCGACCAGGGAGUGUGUUGAACCUCCGCGGAGGAGUGAGGUGCGGAGGUAGGGCGAAG
rnacentral:lncRNA from 1 species